rnacentral:rRNA from 1 species
AGCAGCUAAGCAUGAAGCCCCCCUCAAGAUGAGAUUUCCCAACUUCGGUUAUAAGAUCCCUCGAAGAUGACGAGGUUAAUAGGUUCGAGGUGGAAGCGUGGUGACACGUGGAGCUGACGAAUACUAAUCGAUCGAAGACUUAAUCAAUUUUUUAAA